AAAUUUCACAAUUGGGGAAACCCUGAUGCAGCCACGCCGCGGGAGGGAAUAAGGCCUUCGGGUCGUAAAGCCCUGUCCUAAGGGAAGAAACGUACGGGACCUUAGGAGGAAGCCCCGGCUAACCACGUGCCAGCAGCCGCGGUAAUACGUAGGGGGCGAGCGUUAUCCGGAAUUAAUGGGCGUAAAGGGUGCGUAGGCGGCCUUUUAAGUCAGAUGUGAAAGGCUACGGCUUAACCGUAGUUAGCAUUUGAAACUAAAAGGCUUGAGUGCAGGAGAGGAGAGUGGAAUUCCUAGUGUAGCGGUGAAAUGCGUAGAUAUUAGGAGGAACACCAGUGGCGAAGGCGACUCUCUGGACUGCAACUGACGCUGAGGCACGAAAGCGUGGGGAGCGAACA
rnacentral:rRNA from 1 species